rnacentral:lncRNA from 1 species
CCAAUCACCUCACCCUCACGCACCUCUCAAGUCACAAUCCCAAAAGAUAAAGGUAACGAUUAUCCUCUUUUUGACAUACUCUCUUGCAGCAGUCAGUGAUACGUAAGGAUGUACAAGAUGAUGAAAAAGAGAAGGCAUUCUUAAAAUCUAGUUUAAAACACACGUAUCUCUCUCUCUCUCUCUCUCUCUCUCCCUAUGCAAUGUACUCAUUUCUGUAAUUUAACUUGUAGUGGUUAGUGCUGCAUUUGGUUUAUUAAUCCUGCGGAAAAUUGGUGUCAACUUUAUGCAUAAGAACUGUAUUUGAAUCCAGUUUAAACUAUAUGAUCAUGUCAAAUAGGUUCUUCUGACUCAUCCAACAACACGCAAUCCACUACUCCUACUCCUGCCUUACAUACAGGUUCAGGAGACGAAGUCACUCAGUCAGACUCCUCCACUCUCACGACUGCAUCAAACACACCUGCAAAUGCCACUGAAGAUAUAUCUGACGUCACCUCAUCAAACAAUUAUUCUCUCAUGCACAAUCUCUCACACU